UACCUAGCGGCAGACGGGUGCGUAACAUGUGGGAAUCUGCCUUUUGGUUCGGAACAACAUGGGGAAACCUGUGCUAAUACCGGAUAAGUCCUAACGGAGAAAGUUUUAAUGCCAAAAGAUGAGCCCGCAUUUGAUUAGCUUGUUGGUGAGGUAAAAGCUCACCAAGGCUAUAAUCAAUAGCUGAUUUGAGAGGAUGAUCAGCCACACUGGGACUGAGAUACGGCCCAGACUCCUACGGGAGGCAGCAGUGGGGAAUCUUGCACAAUGGGCGAAAGCCUGAUGCAGCGAUGCCGCGUGAGUGAAGAAGGCCUUUGGGUUGUAAAGCUCUUUUGUCGGGAAAGAUAAUGACUGUACCCGAAGAAUAAGGUCCGGCUAACUUCGUGCCAGCAGCCGCGGUAAUACGAAGGGACCUAGCGUAGUUCGGAAUUACUGGGCGUAAAGAGUAUGUAGGCGGCUAGAUAAGUUAAUUGUGAAAGCCCAAAGCUUAACUUUGGAACUGCAAUUAAAACUAUUUAGCUGGAGUAUGAUAGAGGAAAGCGGAAUACAUAGUGUAGAGGUGAAAUUCGUAGAUAUUAUGUA
rnacentral:rRNA from 1 species